AUGACAGGAGCCGGGGAGCCGAGGAGGGAGGAGCCGCCGCCGCAGCCGAGCGCUGGGCUGAGGAGCAGAGAGAGCGGGGCGCGGAGUGCGGGCGGCUGGGAGCGCGCUGAGCGGGGGAGAGGCGCUGCCGCACGGCCGGCCACAGGACCACCUCCCCGGAGAAUAGGGCCUCUUUAUGGCAUGUGGCUGGUAACUUUCCUCCUGCUCCUGGACUCUUUACACAAAGCCCGCCCUGAAGAUGUCGGCACCAGCCUCUACUUUGUAAAUGACUCCUUGCAGCAGGUGACCUUUUCCAGCUCCGUGGGGGUGGUGGUGCCCUGCCCGGCUGCAGGCUCCCCCAGCGCGGCCCUUCGAUGGUACCUGGCCACGGGGGACGACAUCUACGACGUGCCGCACAUCCGGCACGUCCACGCCAACGGGACGCUGCAGCUCUACCCCUUCUCCCCCUCCACCUUCAAUAGCUUUAUCCACGACAAUGACUACUUCUGCACCGCGGAGAACGCUGCCGGCAAGAUCCGGAGCCCCAACAUCCGCGUCAAAGCAGUUUUCAGGGAACCCUACACCGUCCGGGUGGAGGAUCAAAGGUCAAUGCGUGGCAACGUGGCUGUCUUCAAGUGCCUCAUCCCCUCUUCAGUGCAGGAAUACGUUAGCGUUGUGUCUUGGGAGAAAGACACAGUCUCCAUCAUCCCAGAAAACAGGUUUCUUAUUACCUACCAUGGCGGGCUGUACAUAUCUGACGUACAGAAGGAGGACGCCCUCUCUACCUAUCGCUGUAUCACCAAGCACAAGUACAGCGGGGAGACCCGGCAGAGCAAUGGGGCACGCCUCUCCGUGACAGACCCUGCUGAGUCGAUCCCUACCAUCCUAGACGGCUUCCACUCCCAGGAAGUGUGGGCCAGCCACACUGUGGAGCUGCCCUGCACCGCCUCGGGCUACCCUAUCCCCGCCAUCCGCUGGCUUAAGGAUGGCCGGCCCCUCCCAGCUGACAGCCGCUGGACCAAGCGCAUCACGGGGCUGACCAUCAGCGACUUGCGGACCGAGGACAGCGGCACCUACAUUUGUGAGGUCACCAACACCUUUGGCUCGGCAGAGGCCACAGGCACCCUCACAGUCAUUGAUCCCCUUCAUGUGACCCUGACACCAAAGAAGCUGAAGACCGGCAUUGGUAGCACGGUCAUCCUCUCCUGUGCCCUCACGGGCUCCCCGGAGUUCACCAUCCGCUGGUAUCGAAACACGGAGCUGGUGCUGCCCGACGAGGCCAUCUCCAUCCGCGGGCUCAGCAACGAGACGCUGCUCAUCACCUCGGCCCAGAAGAGCCAUUCCGGGGCCUACCAGUGCUUUGCCACCCGCAAGGCCCAGACCGCGCAGGACUUCGCCAUCAUUGCACUCGAGGAUGGCACGCCCCGCAUCGUCUCGUCCUUCAGCGAGAAGGUCGUCAACCCUGGGGAGCAGUUCUCACUGAUGUGUGCGGCCAAGGGUGCCCCGCCCCCUACAGUCACCUGGGCCCUGGACGACGAGCCCAUCGUGCGGGAUGGCAGCCACCGAACCAACCAGUACACCAUGUCAGAUGGCACCACCAUCAGCCACAUGAACAUCACAGGCCCCCAGAUCCGUGAUGGGGGCGUGUACCGGUGCACAGCGCGGAACUCGGUGGGCAGUGCUGAAUAUCAGGCGCGAAUAAACGUAAGAGGCCCCCCCAGCAUCCGGGCCAUGAGGAACAUCACAGCAGUUGCCGGGCGGGACACCCUUAUCAACUGCAGGGUCAUCGGCUAUCCCUACUACUCCAUCAAGUGGUACAAGGACGCCCUGCUGCUGCCGGACAACCACCGCCAGGUGGUGUUUGAGAACGGGACCCUCAAGCUGACCGAUGUGCAGAAGGGCAUGGACGAGGGGGAGUACCUGUGCAGCGUCCUCAUCCAGCCCCAGCUCUCCAUCAGCCAGAGCGUCCACGUGGCCGUCAAAGUACCCCCUCUGAUCCAGCCCUUUGAGUUCCCACCUGCCUCCAUCGGCCAGCUGCUCUACAUUCCCUGUGUGGUGUCCUCGGGGGACAUGCCCAUCCGAAUCACCUGGAGGAAGGACGGACAGGUGAUCAUCUCAGGCUCGGGCGUGACCAUCGAGAGCAAGGAAUUCAUGAGCUCCCUGCAGAUCUCCAGUGUCUCCCUCAAGCACAACGGCAACUACACGUGCAUCGCCAGCAACGCGGCGGCCACCGUGAGCCGGGAGCGCCAGCUCAUCGUGCGCGUGCCCCCUCGAUUUGUGGUACAACCCAACAACCAGGACGGCAUCUACGGCAAAGCUGGUGUGCUCAACUGCUCGGUGGACGGCUACCCCCCGCCCAAGGUCAUGUGGAAGCAUGCCAAGGGGAGCGGGAACCCCCAGCAGUACCACCCUGUGCCCCUCACUGGCCGCAUCCAGAUCCUGCCCAACAGCUCUCUGCUGAUCCGCCACGUCCUAGAAGAGGACAUCGGCUACUACCUCUGCCAGGCCAGCAACGGCGUAGGCACUGACAUCAGCAAGUCCAUGUUCCUCACAGUCAAGAUCCCGGCCAUGAUCACUUCCCACCCCAACACCACCAUCGCCAUCAAGGGCCAUGCGAAAGAACUGAACUGCACCGCACGGGGUGAGAGGCCCAUCAUCAUCCGCUGGGAGAAGGGGGACACGGUCAUCGACCCUGACCGCGUCAUGCGGUACGCCAUUGCCACCAAGGACAAUGGUGACGAGGUCAUCUCCACGCUGAAGCUCAAGCCAGCUGACCGUGGGGACUCUGUGUUCUUCAGCUGCCAUGCCAUCAACUCGUAUGGGGAGGACCGGGGCUUGAUUCAACUUACUGUGCAAGAGCCUCCGGACCCCCCAGAGCUGGAGAUCCGGGAGGUGAAGGCCCGGAGCAUGAACCUGCGCUGGACCCAGCGAUUCGAUGGGAACAGCCUCAUCACAGGCUUCGACAUCGAAUACAAGAACAAAUCAGAUUCCUGGGACUUCAAGCAGUCCACACGUAACAUCUCCCCCACCAUCAACCAGGCCAACAUCGUGGACUUGCACCCAGCAUCCGUGUACAGCAUCCGCAUGUACUCCUUCAACAAGAUUGGCCGCAGUGAGCCAAGCAAGGAGCUCACCGUCAGCACCGAGGAGGCCGCUCCUGAUGGGCCACCCAUGGAUGUUACCUUGCAGCCAGUGACCUCACAGAGCAUCCAGGUGACCUGGAAGGCACCCAAGAAGGAGCUGCAGAAUGGUGUCAUCCGGGGCUACCAGAUCGGCUACAGAGAGAACAGCCCCGGCAGCAACGGGCAGUACAGCAUCGUGGAGAUGAAGGCCACGGGGGACAGUGAGGUCUACACCCUGGACAACCUCAAGAAGUUCGCCCAGUAUGGUGUGGUGGUCCAGGCCUUCAAUCGGGCUGGCACGGGGCCCUCAUCCAGCGAGAUCAAUGCCACAACUCUGGAGGAUGUGCCCAGCCAGCCCCCCGAGAACGUCCGGGCCCUGUCCAUCACUUCUGACGUGGCCGUCAUCUCUUGGUCUGAGCCCCCACGCAGCACCCUCAAUGGCGUCCUCAAAGGCUAUCGGGUCAUCUUCUGGUCACUCUACGUUGAUGGGGAGUGGGGCGAGAUGCAGAACAUCACCACCACACGGGAGCGGGUGGAGCUGCGGGGCAUGGAGAAGUUCACCAACUACAGCGUCCAGGUGCUGGCCUACACCCAGGCGGGGGACGGCGUGCGCAGCAGCGUGCUCUACAUCCAGACCAAGGAGGAUGUUCCAGGUCCCCCUGCUGGCAUCAAAGCUGUCCCUUCAUCAGCUAGCAGUGUGGUUGUGUCUUGGCUCCCCCCUACCAAGCCCAACGGGGUGAUCCGCAAGUACACCAUCUUCUGCUCCAGCCCCGGGUCUGGCCAGCCGGCUCCCAGUGAGUACGAGACUAGUCCAGAGCAGCUCUUCUACCGGAUCGCCCACCUAAACCGCGGUCAGCAGUAUCUGCUGUGGGUGGCCGCCGUCACCUCCGCCGGCCGGGGCAACAGCAGCGAGAAGGUGACCAUCGAGCCUGCUGGCAAGGCCCCAGCAAAGAUCAUCUCCUUUGGGGGCACCGUGACAACACCUUGGAUGAAAGAUGUUCGGCUGCCUUGCAAUCCGGUGGGAGAUCCAGCCCCUGCUGUGAAGUGGACCAAGGACAGUGAAGACUCGGCCAUCCCAGUGUCCAUGGAUGGACACCGGCUCAUCCACACUAACGGCACGCUGCUACUGCGCGCAGUGAAGGCUGAGGACUCCGGCUACUACACCUGCACAGCCACCAACACCGGGGGCUUCGACACCAUCAUCGUCAACCUUCUGGUGCAAGUUCCCCCGGACCAGCCCCGCCUCACUGUCUCCAAAACCUCAGCUUCAUCCAUCACCCUGACCUGGAUUCCAGGUGACAAUGGGGGCAGCUCCAUCCGAGGCUUCGUGCUGCAGUACUCGGUGGACAACAGCGAGGAGUGGAAGGACCUGUUCAUCAGCUCCAGUGAGCGCUCCUUCAAGUUGGACAGCCUCAAGUGUGGCACGUGGUACAAGGUGAAGCUGGCAGCCAAGAACAGCGUGGGCUCUGGGCGCAUCAGCGAGAUCAUCGAGGCCAAGACCCACGGGCGGGAGCCUUCCUUCAGCAGAGACCAACACCUCUUCACCCACAUCAACUCCACGCAUGCUCGGCUUAACCUGCAGGGCUGGAACAACGGGGGCUGCCCUAUCACAGUCAUCAUGCUGGAGUACCGGCCCAAGGGGACCUGGGCCUGGCAGGCCCUCCGCGCCAACAGCUCCGGCGAGGUGUUUCUGACCGAACUGCGAGAGGCCACAUGGUACGAGCUACGCAUGAGGGCUUGCAACAGCGCCGGCUGCGGCAACGAGACGGCCCAGUUUGCCACCCUGGACUACGAUGGCAGCACCAUUCCACCCAUUAAAUCUGCUCAAGGUGAAGGGGAUGAUGUGAAGAAGCUGUUCACCAUUGGCUGCCCCGUCAUCCUGGCCACACUGGGAGUGGCACUGCUCUUCAUCGUACGCAAGAAGAGGAAGGAGAAGAGGCUGAAGCGACUCCGAGAUGCAAAGAGUUUGGCAGAAAUGUUGAUAAGCAAGAACAAUCGAAGCUUUGACACCCCUGUGAAAGGGCCGCCCCAGGGCCCACGGCUACACAUUGACAUCCCCAGGGUUCAGCUGCUCAUUGAGGACAAAGAGGGCAUCAAGCAGCUGGGAGAUGACAAGGCCACCAUCCCUGUGACAGAUGCUGAGUUCAGCCAAGCUGUCAACCCACAGAGCUUCUGUACUGGCGUCUCCUUGCACCACCCAGCCCUCAUCCAGAGCACAGGACCCCUCAUCGACAUGUCUGACAUCCGGCCAGGAACCAAUCCAGUGUCCAGGAAGAAUGUGAAGUCGGCACACAGUACCCGGAACCGGUACUCAAGCCAGUGGACCCUGACCAAGUGCCAGGCCUCCACACCCGCCCGCACCCUCACCUCUGACUGGCGCACUGUGGGCUCCCAGCAUGGUGUCACCGUCACUGAGAGUGACAGCUACAGUGCCAGCCUGUCCCAGGACACAGACAAAGGAAGGAACAGCAUGGUGUCCACGGAGAGUGCCUCUUCCACCUAUGAGGAGCUGGCCCGGGCCUACGAGCACGCCAAGCUGGAGGAGCAGCUGCAGCACGCCAAGUUUGAGAUCACCGAGUGCUUCAUCUCUGACAGUUCCUCCGACCAGAUGACCACAGGCACCAAUGAGAACGCUGACAGCAUGACAUCCAUGAGCACACCCUCAGAGCCUGGCAUCUGCCGCUUCACCGCCUCACCACCCAAGCCCCAGGAUGCUGACCGGGGCAAAAAUGUGGCUGUGCCCAUCCCUCACCGGGCCAACAAGAGUGACUACUGCAACCUGCCACUGUAUGCCAAGUCGGAGGCCUUCUUUCGAAAGGCAGAUGGACGUGAGCCCUGCCCUGUGGUCCCACCGCGAGAGACCUCCAUCCGGAACCUGGGCCGAACCUACCACACCCAGGCUCGCCACCUGACCCUGGACCCUGCCAGCAAGCCCUUGGGCCUCCCGCACCCAGGGGCCCCUGCUGCCGCCUCCACAGCCACCUUACCUCAGAGGACUCUGGCCAUGCCAGCCCCCCCAGCCGGCACAGCCCCCCCAGCCCCCGGCCCCACCCCUGCUGAGCCCCCCACUGCCCCCAGCGCCGCCCCUCCAGCUCCCAGCACUGAGCCUCCACGAGGCGGGGGCCCACACACCAAAAUGGGGGGCUCCAGGGACUCACUUCUCGAGAUGAGCACAUCGGGGGUAGGGAGGUCUCAGAAGCAGGGGGCCGGGGCCUACUCCAAAUCCUACACCCUGGUGUAGGGCCAGCAGGGAGAGCAGCCCACGCCUGGACUGCGCCGCAGCCCCACACACCAGCUCGGCUGUUUUUCUGCAUUAUUUAUAUUCAACUGACAGACAAAAACCAACGACAAAACACAAACCCCCAAUCAUGAACGCCUGUACAUAGAACUCUUUUGUACAAAUGAAACUAUUUUCUUCUUCUUCUCCAUGAAGCCAGGGCACAAAGAAUUUGACAGUACAAGUCAAAUCCCCCAACCCACAAAAUAUGUGUGGAGAUAUAUAUACAUAUAUAGACAGAGAGGAACACGUCGACAAGCUAUAUAUCUAUAUAUUUCUCUCACCCUAUUUUGAGACAGAGGCACAAAGACUCAGCAAUUUUUUUUCCCUCCUCCUCACCUUCCCCCUCAAUCUAGGUGGUUUUGACAAAGACCAAAAUCCCAGCUCAGAGACACUGCAUGCGAUUUUACUGUUCCAAGAAAACCAGGAGUUGCUUCAAUUUGCAGAUGCUUAUGUGUUAAUACCUUUUUCUAUGAAAAAAGACCCAGCGCCGUGUGCAAUAAAGCCCCCACACCCAGGACCCAGCCUGGAGAAGCAGCUAACAACAUCAGUGAAAACCAGAACUCUGCAUUCCAGACACCUGAUGACAGCCCAGCUUCGUCCCAUCUCUGGGAGGACGAGACACCUCCCAAGGAUGCGCACGCCAUCUGCAGGUCACCUCCAGAACUGCAAGCACUACGAUCAAACCUUAACGUUCUGCUUAGAAUGCCUCCCAACCCCACCUUCCCUGCACACCAGUGGCUGGGCACACAAACGAAUCAGGGCCAGCUCCAGCCUGCAGGAAGGAAUGAACAACUCCUCAGAAGCUAAGAGCGCAGAAGAUGGAGCCAGCCCAACGGCUGCGAAGGGGAACGCUGUCGUCAAAACCCAUUACGGAUCUCGAUACUACGCGCCAGGUCCUGAGCAAAACACAUGCCUCGCAUUGAUUGGCUCUUGUAACCCCAUUGCAGAUUUGAGAGAAAGGUAUCACGAUCUCCACUUGACAGAGAUAGAAUUUCGCUAUGUUGCCCAGGCUGAUCUCGAACUCCUGAACUCAAGCAAUCCUCCCGCCUCAGCCUCCCAAAGCACUGGGAUUAUAGGUGUGAGCCACCACGCCAGGCCCUUGAUACAUUUUUUAGCUAAACCACAAGCCUGCCUGUUUGAUCCACACCCAGAAGCUAAUUCACAAAUCAGUGGAACUCCUGCUCCCUCUCACUCAUCCCCAGCUCAUCCUCAUUGAACUCUAAAUCUGGAGCAGUCAUCUUACACAUUCACUUGCUCCUUUCCAGACCUCCACUUUAUCUACCAUGGACAAGACGACCAUCUGCCCUCAAGAGCCUUAAUACUCCACGUGUGGUUUACAGGCCAGUGGCACCAGCAUCCCCAUCACCUAGGAGCUUUACAAAUGCAAACUAUCAGGCGUCAUCCUGGGAAUCAGACCACUGAAUCAGACUCUGUACUUCAGCAAAAUCCUCAGGGGACUCAUAUGCACAUCAAAGUUUGAGAAGCCCGCCUCAAGAAGACCUUCAGAGAGAUCACCCCUUGUUCCCCCCAUUGCAACAACCAAAGUUAGACUAGUGGGUCUUAAACUUAGGUGCACAUCGGAUUCACCUGAGGACCUCAUUCAACAAUAUAGAAGCCCAGCUCUCGCCAAUCCUGAUGGAAUAGGAAUUUGUUGGUAUGUGGCCUAGGUAAUUUUGUUUUUGUUUUUGUUUUUUGUUUUUUUUGAGACAGGGUCUUACCCUAUAGCCUAGGCUAGAGUGCAGUGAUGGUAUCACAGCUCGCUGCAGCCUCAACCUCCCUGACUCAGGUGAUCCUCCCACCUCAGCCUCUCAAGCAACUGGAAGUAUUGGCACUUGCCACCACACCUGGCUAGUUUUCGUAUUUUUAGUAGAGAUGGAGUUUCACCAUGUUGCCCAGGCUGAUCUUGAACUCCUGAGCUUAAGCAAUCACCAUCUCGGCCUCCCAAAGUGCUGGGAUUACAGGCAUGAGCCAUUGCACCUGACCAACAUUUUUAUUUUUAUGGUGGUAAAAGAUACAUAAUACAAAAUUUGCCAUUGUAACCAGUUUAAAUCAUACAAUUCAGCAGCAGUAAAUACAUUUACCUUGUUGUACAAUCACCGCUAUCCAUUUCCAGAACUUUCUCAUCAUUCCAGAAAGAAACUUUGUACCCAUUAGUCAGUAACUCCCCAUUUUCCUUUCUCUGCACCUGGCAACCACCAUUCUACUUUCUGUCUCUAAAAUCUGCCCAUGCUGGGUACCUCAGAUAAGUGGAAUCACACAAUACGUGUCCUUUGGGUUCGGGCUUAUUUCACUUAGCAUCAUGUCCAAGUUCCAUCCAUGCUGUAGCAUGUAUCAGAAUUCCAUUCCUGCUUGAGGAUAUUUCAUUAUUUACCACAUUUUGCUUCUCCAUUCCUCUCCUUGUGGACACUUGGAAUGCUUCUACCUUUCCGCUAUUGUGAAUAACGCUGCUAUGAAUAAGAGUGUACAAGGAUCUGUUUGGGCUCCUCUUUUCAAUUCUUUUGGGACUAUACCCAGGACUGAAAUUGCUGAAUCACAUGCUUAUUCUAUGUCUUAUGUUUUGGGGAACCAAAAAACUGUUUUUCACCAUGCAUCUGUUUUUGGUUUUGUUUUUGUUUUUUUCUAGAUGGAGUCUUGCUUUGCUGCCCAGGCUGGAGUGCAGUGGCCUGAUCUCAGCUCACUGCAACCUCUGCCUCCCAAGUUCAGUGAUUCUCCUGCCUCAGCCUCCCAAGUAGCUAGGAUUACAGGCAUGCGUCACUACGCCCAGCUAAUUUUUUUGUAUUUUUGGUAGAGACGGGGUUUCACCAUGUAGGCCAGCCUGGUCUCAAACUCCUAACCUCGUGAUCCGCCCACCUCAGCCUCCCAAAGUGCUGGGAUUACAGGCAUGAGCCACCGCGCCUGGCUGUGUCUGUAUUUUUAACAAGCGAAAUGACACCCAAGCAUUUGUUCAUUCAUCAGAUACCCCGAAGCACUUCCAAUGAUCUGGCACUGAGCCGGGCACUGGAGAUGCAAAGGCCCUCUGGGUCUCUUCCUGCACUCAAAAGCUCACUCCCUGGAGUGUAUGCAACCUGACGGAGGUGGGAGGAGGGAAGCCUAUAUCUGGGAGCAGCAGGGAUGCUUAGCUAUCUGUCAAAGCCUCAUGAUCCUCUCCACAGUGCACAGUUGUUGCUGGGAAGUCACUGCCCAUCCUGUAACUACAGUUCCAGGCCCCCGAUUCCCAGAGAAGGCCAUGAGACUGAGCUCUAACCAGUGGAAUGUGGUGUAAGUGAUACAUGCUACUUUCAGGCCAAGCUCAUAAAAACUUCCCUGGCCACCAUCUGCUCUCUCCAACUGGAAGUCAACACCCAAGGUGAACUUAGAAGCCAUUCAUUGAAGAUGACAGAUCCUCCAUCAGCCUGCCUUAUACAUCUAUGUAGAGCAGAGGCCCCUCUAUCCCCUCCAAUGCCAACUGGACUUUAUGUGAGCAAGAAAUAAACCUGUAUGAAGCACUGAUA